rnacentral:lncRNA from 1 species
UCCCAUCCAGCGUAAGUACACAAAGGCCCUCUUUUGUGUCGCCCAGGUAAACAGUUUCAUGACGGUGAAGAUUUCGGGGCGCUUUGCCAUUACCUUGGUCUACAGAUGCCAUCCCCAAAGCCUGAAGCUGGCGUUAGCACCCAAAAAACAUGAGCCUGGGUCUGCAGGUCUGCCUGGUGUGCCACUCCCUGCCAUCAACCCAGCUGUCACAGCUGCCCCUGGAACCAGGGACUCCACUGGAGACUGCAAGAUGAGCUGGCGACUGGCCUUCACCGCCCAGAACAGAGAUGUAAGCUCCUUGUGUAA